rnacentral:rRNA from 1 species
UGGGGAAUAUUGCACAAUGGGCGCAAGCCUGAUGCAGCCAUGCCGCGUGUAUGAAGAAGGCCUUCGGGUUGUAAAGUACUUUCAGCGAGGAGGAAGGCGUUGUGGUUAAUAACCGCAACGAUUGACGUUACUCGCAGAAGAAGCACCGGCUAACUCCGUGCCAGCAGCCGCGGUCAUACGGAGGGUGCAAGCGUUAAUCGGAAUUACUGGGCGUAAAGCGCAAGCAGGCGGUCUGUCAAGUCGGAUGUGAAAUCCCCGGGCUCAACCUGGGAACUGCAUCCGAAACUGGCAGGCUAGAGUCUUGUAGAGGGGGGUAGAAUUCCAGGUGUAGCGGUGAAAUGCGUAGAGAUCUGGAGGAAUACCGGUGGCGAAGGCGGCCCCCUGGACAAAGACUGACGCUCAGGUGCGAAAGCGUGGGGAGCAAACA